UACAGAGGGGAGCAAGCGUUGUUCGGAAUUACUGGGCGUAAAGGGCGCGUAGGCGGCACGGCAAGUCAGGAGUCGAAAGCCCUGGGCUCAACCCGGGAACUGCUUUUGAAACUGCCGAGCUAGAGUGAGCGGAAGGGGCAACUGGAAUUCCCGGUGUAGCGGUGAAAUGCGGCAGAUAUCGGGAGGAACACCAAUGGCGAAGGCAGCUUGCUGGGACGGUACUGACGCUGAGACGGCGAAAGCGUGGGAGCA
rnacentral:rRNA from 1 species